rnacentral:rRNA from 1 species
AUUGAACGCUGGCGGCAGGCUUAACACAUGCAAGUCGAGCGGAGAGAGGUAGCUUGCUACUGAUCUUAGCGGCGGACGGGUGAGUAAUGCUUAGGAAUCUGCCUAUUAGUGGGGGACAACAUUUCGAAAGGAAUGCUAAUACCGCAUACGUCCUACGGGAGAAAGCAGGGGAUCUUCGGACCUUGCGCUAAUAGAUGAACCUAAGUCGGAUUAGCUAGUUGGUGGGGUAAAGGCCUACCAAGGCGACGAUCUGUAGCGGGUCUGAGAGGAUGAUCCGCCACACUGGGACUGAGACACGGCCCAGACUCCUACGGGAGGCAGCAGUGGGGAAUAUUGGACAAUGGGCGGAAGUCUGAUCCAGCCAUGCCGCGUGUGUGAAGAAGGCCUUAUGGUUGUAAAGCACUUUAAGCGAGGAGGAGGCUACUUUAGUUAAUACCUAGAGAUAGUGGACGUUACUCGCAGAAUAAGCACCGGCUAACUCUGUGCCAGCCGCCGCGGUAA